GCAUGUUGAAGGAGGAGGAGAGAGAGCAAUUAAAUCACUCCCCGAGCAGCCUGGGAUGACUCACACCACUGAGUUCAUACACGAAGGGGGAAGGGAAGAGGGAAAUAGACAGAGAGAGAGGCUGGCGUUGAGCUCACACUUAAAGAUAAUAUCUGGAAACAAGCCAAAGAAGAGGCUGUGGUGGAGCCUCACACACUAAUCCCUCAACCCAGACCAAAGCCAUGUCAGAGAGGAGAGAGAGAUAGAAACUCCCCUUUCUCAUUCUACAUCACCGUCUUGUCCCUCCUCUUUCACUGACUGCUUCUUUAACCACUGACCUACCACUCAGUCCGAGGCCCUGAGAGGAUACAUAUCUACACAGGGACCUUGUGUUGAGACUCCGACCCGCACCUGGAAAGAGGAUACAAGAGGAACAUUUUGCAUUGCAUCUAGGGGAGGGAAUUGGACAGGAGAGGAGGGCAAGCUAGGCCGACUGACGUCAUGGAAAACACGCAUCUGAUGUCCUAUUCGUCAGAGGUCUGCUCUCGACAUGAAAAACACGCUUUCUGCAAAGAGGCAAGUGUAAGCAGGAGAGGUUAAAGCUUAUAACACAAGUUGUCUUUGGUGGGAGGGCAGCGCUGUGCCUCGUAGCCAGGCCCAUCGUGUCUUCCCAGAGGGCAAGUGAGGAUCUCACCCUCCUCUCCCUUCUCCCUUCUCCCUUCUCCCUCUCGAUAAAGAGAUGCUCAGAAGCCAUAGAGGGCAGCCUGUGAGACGUCAGGCUGUGGGGAUUUACACGCUGCACUUUGUGUUUAUGGGCCUCAGCUCUGUUUGAGUGCCUGCGAGACAGAGACGGGCACUUUCACAGCCGACAUGAAAUAAACUCAUUACAGCCUUUGCGAGCGCUGGCAACGGGCCCCGCUUAGCAGCGAGGCACAGGACUGGCUAGAAAAGGCUGCAAGUGAUCUUCACACUGCUCUCCACUCUACUUUCAAGACUACCCACCACCUUGUCACUAUCAACACCUCCCUCCAUCCUGCUUUCCUCAGAGAUGCAAGGCAUGGAUGCUGCCGGAUUUGCUUCUACUGCGUGUUUUUAUAUAGUGAACUGCAUGCUCCCUAGGCACAUGAGGUGAGCAUGAAGGCUGCCUGCGAGACUGAGAGACAGUGUGGGAUGCAAGGAGACAGCAAAUAUGUGGAUCCGAGCUGUUACAGGAGGGUACUUGGAGGGCAAUGUGCAAGGCUGUUGGUAAAUAUAAUCCUGAGACACCUCACACUGUCUCAGCUGAUGUAGACGGGUGAGUGUACACAUGUGCACCACUAUGCAUCUCUUAAUACAGCAUGUGUGCACAUUAGAUAGCUGCGGUGGGUUUAUUAGCGUUCACCAGUUUAUCCAAUUAUGUAGACAGGCUUUCAUUAAACUGAUUUUGAUGUGUAAAUGUUCAAAAAGCUGAAUUAAACCUGUGUUGGUUUUACAGUUAAA